GAGAGAUCUUUGCCACGUGUGGCGGAGGAAGAUGAAGACCUCACAUAUUUGAUACAUAUGACGAACAAAGGAAUUCCAUUCCUUACAUCUGGAUUUGAGCGAGGCAAACUUCCCAGCUUAUAGUAUAUAUAGCCCGAAGCGGUUGAUGGUCAAUAAUGAUGGCACAAUCCCCCCUCCCCUACACCCCCGGAAAUAGCGCGAAACAGCUGCAGUCCUAAAUCAUACGAACCAUGAAAACGUACAAAAGAACAUCCAAAAAUAUUUUCGAUUGUCUGAACACUUCUGCGUUCACGGCAACCGAGAGAAAUCGUCCAAGCACGCAGGCAGAAAAGCGAAACCAGAAAAGAAGGAGGAGAGUCAUUAAAAAGAAAAAGACAACGAAACAACAAAAGAAAGAUGAAUUAGAGGAAAAUGAACUGAAACUGAAGUUGGUGAACUAAGAAAGAAGAAGUAUAACUGCUACAAGAAGAAGAAGAACUGAGAAGGAGGAGGGGGAAAAUAACUAAUAGGAAGAGGAAGAGGAAGAGGAAGA